rnacentral:rRNA from 1 species
UACAGAGGGGGCAAGCGUUAUUCGGAAUUAUUGGGCGUAAAGGGCGCGUAGGCGGCUUUUCAAGUGACGGGUGAAAUCCCUCGGCUUAACCGAGGAACUGCCCGUCAGACUGGAAGGCUUGAGACCGGGAGAGGUGAGUGGAAUUCCCAGUGUAGCGGUGAAAUGCGUAGAUAUUGGGAGGAACACCAGUGGCGAAGGCGGCUCACUGGACUGGUACUGACGCUGAGGCGCGAAAGCGUGGGGAGCAAACGGG